rnacentral:rRNA from 1 species
UACGAGGGGGGCGAGCGUUGUUCGGAAUUAUUGGGCGUAAAGGGCGCGUAGGCGGUCGUAUAAGUCUUGUGUGAAAUCUUCGGGCUCAACUCGAAGUCUGCAUGAGAAACUAUUCGGCUUGAGUGUGGGAGAGGUGAGUGGAAUUCCUGGUGUAGCGGUGAAAUGCGUAGAUAUCAGGAGGAACACCUGUGGCGAAGGCAAUCCCCUGGACCUGUACUGACGCUCAUGCGCGAAAGCGAUGGGAGCAACAGGG